UUCUUUUUCUUAUUUUUUAUUUUAUUUUAUUUCGUAAUUUUUGAUUUUCCAGUUCUCUCUCUCUCUUUCUUUCUCUAUCUCAAUUCCUCGGUCGGCGACUUUUUCAUUUUUCGGGUCCAUUGGGGUCGCGAUCGGAGAACCUCUAACCGCCGUUUGGAUCAUUCCGCCGCCGAUUAAAUAUCCGGCUGAUCUCCUUCUUCAACUUCUAGCUUUUGGUUUGCUUUCAGGUAGAUUAUUGGCUGGUUCUUGUUGUGGAGGACAACUGUAAAGAAGCAACCUUUGAUGUACAGAUGAGCAGAACCAAUGUUAUUGGCAGUAGAAGGAGGAGGAUUCUUCUCAUCUUCGGCUUCUGGGUAUAGCAAAGGUCUGGCCCUUCUUCUCUUGGGUCAGAAGAACAAGGACAAACCCAUGAGAGUUGCGCCGUGGAAUCAGUACCAGUUGGUGGACCAAGAAUCUGACCCUGACCUCCAGCUGGCUUCUACGAAGAACCGACUCGCCCGCGGGUGUGCUUCCUUUGUCUGCUUUCGUCGCACUUCCGCUGGGCUUGACACUAAAUCUCCUCUUAAAGUAGGUCCUGCCCAACAUCAGGAUGUCUUGCCAGAUUCUCUUGCUUCUGAUAGUGAUAAGAACAAAGAUCAUGCAGCCAAUACAGUUGACAGUGACGAUGCAAGUAAAGUUUAUCUUAAAAGUAGCUUGAAGAAGUCAUCAAACACUACUUCAGUUUCUGUUGAGACUGGAAAUGACAGUGUAAGGCUCAGUGAAGCAGGCAGUGAUAUACCUGGCACAGAAAGAAGAAAAGUGCAAUGGACAGAUACUUGUGGGAGUGAGCUUGCUGAAAUCAAGGAAUUCGAGCCCAGGUAUGGCAUUCUUAUAAUUUGUUCAAGGUUUUGAUGCUUUCCCUUUAUUAAUUUAUGCUUUAAUUGUCCUUUUUUUGUUUUUUUUUUCUUUCUUUCUUUAGCCUUUUCUUUCUUUCUUUCUUUCUUUUCUUUUUUACCUGUUUGAUUUUGUCCUUUUGUUAGUUGAUUGGACUUAUAAUAAAUUAAUAAUGUAUGAUUCAUGAAUGUAUGUGUGAUUUGUCAUUGAUCAUCUGAGUUUCAUUGGACUGUUUGCCUUUACCAAACUGGUGAUUGUCUAUUUAUAAUUAAGCAUGUUGUGUAUGAUUCAUGCAAAUAAAAAGAAGGCUUUUCUGUAGGCUUUGUUUUAUUGUUCACCAUAGGUAGGAAGAGAAGAACAAAGAUAGAUAAAGGAACUGAUAAAAUAAAGGGAAUGAGAACUUUGGACUGAAAGAUAAUUUCAUCUUAUAUAUCAUGGUUGUUAUGUUAUGUGUUGUCAUAUGUGAGACAGAUAUAGAAGUUCACAAGUGUUUUUUUUACACAAAAUUUUAUGUUUUGUUUGGGGAAAAUUGAUUGUAGUUAUGAUAGGUGUCUGUCGUUCCAUGUCAAGGUUUUAGUGUUAUUGGUAGUUAAGUUUUAAGAAAACAAGUUAUUAUAAAUACUGAAAACCUGACAAAAGUAAGCUCAGAAAAUCAAUAAUUGGUCUGUCUGUGUUGGAGAUAAAUGCACCAAGGUUUUUGUUGGAAUUGCUCAUUUUGAGAAUUUUGUUUGCCACCGUUGUGAAGAAAUUUUUGAAGGUACAAAAUCAAUGAUUAUAGUGAUAGAAAAUGUGGAAGGUCUACAAGAGAAGUAUGAUAAUAAUGUUGAUUAAAGUAAACAAAGAGUUUAAAUGUGAGAUUCCUUGCUACAGGAAGAGGUUGUAUAGAUUUAUGAGAAAAAGCCAAGAACACAAAAAUCAACGUGGGUAUACUGUAUAUUGCGGAAGUGAAGAAGUUAAGCUGUGUUGGAGAAUAUGGGUAAUAUACAUUCCAUAAAUCAUGAUAUGCAAUUAGGUGUGUGGCUAACGACAAUGACAAAAAGUUCUUAAUAGCCUUAUGGUUUCAGAGUUAUUAGUUUUGAACAUUUUGAAAUUGAGGUAAAGUUAAAAGUACCAACUCUUGGAGUUCUUAUUUGAACCUAGUAUUCCCAACCAAAGUAAUGAAAACUAGGAGAUAUGCAUAUCCAUGCUCUUUUCUUUAUCAUUCAACGUUUCUUAUUGGAGUUGUUUCAGAUAUGGAACCAUACAUGGCAUGAUUGAAAAUUAGUCUCUAGCUAUUAAGUGAAGUGGACCUAUCAGACGAUGAAUAUGAUAACGGGACUGAAAGAAGUUGUUCGUGUGCAAUCAUGUAGUUUGGUUUUAGUUGAGGUGACAUGGGGAUAUGCCUCGGUUUUCAUUGCAACGAUGAAAAAAGUGAAAUUACACAGCUGAAGGAGCUUGUUCAUCGUUCCUCUGAGCUAGUCAGAUUGAUUGAUUUCUGGAUGAAGAAACGGGGAAACCAAACGAGUUUUUGAUCCGAUAGAGCAAGGAAAUUUGCUUCCUAUUUGUCUAUAUUCAGUUGCUGAGGGUUUUCAAUAUUUUUUUUCCUCUUGUGGGCAUAUUAGCCAUUUAUGGUUUUGUUUAUUUUCUUAAGCUCAUGUAUGUGUGACUGUCUUGUUUAUUUCCUUUGUCGUAUUUAUUGUGUUAUUCUUUUUUUGGUUUC